UACAGAGGUCCCAAGCGUUGUUCGGAUUCACUGGGCGUAAAGGGUGCGUAGGCGGUCGGGUAAGUCUGAUGUGAAAUCUCACAGCUUAACUGUGAAACUGCAUUGGAUACUAUCCGACUCGAGGAAUGGAGGGGAGACUGGAAUUCUCGGUGUAGCAGUGAAAUGCGUAGAUAUCGAGAGGAACACCAGUGGCGAAGGCGAGUCUCUGGGCCUUACCUGACGCUGAGGAGCGAAAGCGUGGGGAGCGAACAGG
rnacentral:rRNA from 1 species